rnacentral:rRNA from 1 species
CAGUCGCCGCGGGAAUACAGAGGGUGCGAGCGUUAAUCGGAUUUACUGGGCGUAAAGCGUGCGUAGGCGGCUUUUUAAGUCGGAUGUGAAAUCCCUGAGCUUAACUUAGGAAUUGCAUUCGAUACUGGGAAGCUAGAGUAUGGGAGAGGAUGGUAGAAUUCCAGGUGUAGCGGUGAAAUGCGUAGAGAUCUGGAGGAAUACCGAUGGCGAAGGCAGCCAUCUGGCCUAAUACUGACGCUGAGGUACGAAAGCAUGGGGAGCAAACAGGACUAGAUACCCCUGUAGUCCCUGUCUCUUAUAC